rnacentral:rRNA from 1 species
GAUGAACGCUGACGGCAUGCUUAACACAUGCAAGUCGGACGGGAAGUGGUGUUUCCCGUGGCGGACGGGUGAGUAACGCGCAAGAACCUGCCCUUGGGAUGGGAACAACAGCUGGAAACGGCUGCUAAUACCCCGUAGGCUGAGUGGCAAAAGGAGGAAUCCGCCCGAGGAGGGGCUUGCGUCUGAUUAGCUAGUUGGUGAGGCAAUAGCUUACCAAGGCGAUGAUCAGUAGCUGUUCCGAGAGGAUGAUCAGCCACACUGGGACUGAGACGCGGCCCAGACUACUACGGGAGACAGGAGUGAGGAAUUUUCAGCAAUGCGCGGAGGCCUGACGAGGCAAUGCCGCGGGAAAGUAGAAGGCCCAGGGGUCGUGAACUGCUUUUCCCGGAGAAGAAGUAAUGACGGUAUCUGGGGAAUAAGCAUCGGCUAACUCUGUG